rnacentral:lncRNA from 1 species
CUGGUAUCAUUAUCCUCCAGGGGAUUUUGUAAAUGCCUGUCCCUUCCUCUCUUGGGUAUUGGUCUUUCACGUUCCUUAACAUAUUGAACACCAUUGGGGGCCUCCUGUAUGCCUCUUUUUUCUUCCUUUUCUUGAUUAUUUCUUUUACUGUCUUAUAAUUACUCAGAGAGUGGUUUAAGACUAAGUAUCCACUGUCUUGUUCAUUGCUUUGAAGGUCUGUCCUUGGGUGGGCUUAGGUUUGGGUCUUUAGUCAAUAUCUCCUUCAAAAUUCUGUCUACUAGUGUUUGUUUAUAACCAUGCUUCUUGGCUAUUGUUUUUAUAUUCUGUAUCUCUUUUUGAAAUGCCUCUUCUUUGCUGCAAUGUGUGAGUGCUCUUGUUGUGAAGGACCUGAGUGCUGCUUUCUUGAGUUUCCAUUUGUCCCUUGACCGUUCUGGGGUCGGGACUGGUGCGCGGGUCUGUUUUCUGUGCACUUCCGUCAUGGGUUUGCGUCCUUCGAUUUUUGACUCAAUGUCGGGGUGGUGGACUUCAUGUUUGCUCCUCUGUUCUGGCUUUGGGGACGGGCCGUGGUUUGACAGCGUGGGCUCUUUGCUUAAGUUUUCUUCUCUCUCUUCACAUUCCCAUGUUGCGGACGUCAUCCACAUGCCUGGCGUGGAGUUUGGCUUUGCUUGUUGUGCUUGUGACUGUUCUAAUGUUGUAGUGGCCGGCUCCGCUGGUGCGCCCGCUGGUGGUCUUCCUAUCGGGACCCCCUUUGUUUGCAUAUAAUGGAAGCCGUUGGGUCUAAAAUGCAAGUCGUGG